rnacentral:rRNA from 1 species
GGGAUAAGUGCUGAAAGCAUCUAAGCAUGAAGCCCCCCUCAAGAUGAGAUUUCCCAUUACGUUAAGUAAGUAAGAUCCCUCAGAGACGAUGAGGUUGAUAGGUCUCAUGUGGAAGCAUGGCAACAUGCGGAGCUGAGAGAUACUAAUCGAUCGAGGGCUUAUCCAGAA